GUGGCUGUGGCAGACCUGGUAAUGCACCGGAUUGUGGUUCCGGUUCAUGCGGGUUCGAAUCCCGCCGGCCGCCC
rnacentral:tRNA from 1 species